ensembl:lncRNA
UCUGUUGUAAAUUAAUACACCAAUUGAUUUAGCUUUGGAGGGAAACCCCUUGCUUGCAUAAAAAAAUGUGGCUAGUAGUUAUCAAGGUUUUGCUUAAUUUGUACAUAUUGUCAUGAUUUUUUUAUGAAUGAAAAAAUGUAUAUUUACAUUUUUGGGGGGUGGGUUGGACUUCUUUUCAGGGAAGUCACCGUAUGUUUGAUAUUAAAAAAAGACUGAAGUCAGAUCCAUUGAAUUAACAUGAGUGUGAGAACAGUUGCAGUAUUUGUAACAUGUUUAUAGCCAAAGAAAAGAUUACAGUAAUUAGGACUAUUCAGUCCAACAUCAAAUCCAUCAGAAAACACUGGAAGCAGAUGACAAGAUUCUAUGAAAGUGGGAAAAGUUGUGACACAACUCUUGAAUUACAGCUCCUCCCCCAGAUGGUGAUUGGAAUGUGCAUCAAGUCACCAAAGAAAAGAUUACAGUAAUUAGGACUAUUCAGUCCAACAUCAAAUCCAUCAGAAAACACUGGAAGCAGAUGACAAGAUUCUAUGAAAGUGGGAAAAGUUGUGACACAACUCUUGAAUUACAGCUCCUCCCCCAGAUGGUGAUUGGAAUGUGCAUCAAGUCAGUAAGUCAAUGAAAUUAUACAUUCAAAUAUAUUAUUAACAUGAAUAUAAUGACUGAUAUUAAACAGCAUAAAAUCAUUGAAAAUACAGUACAAUAGUUCACAUCUGCAGAACAUGAUGUACCACUAGAACUUCAAUCUGCUAUGCCUUGGAUCAUAAUCCAUCAAACUUUCUGGACAGUUUUCACGGUCAGUCGAAAUUUCAGAUCAGGUCGCUUCGCCCGAACGAUGUCGUAGAUCUAGUAGAGAAAAUAGAUCACUAUUUAGUUCAACUCAAGCUCAUCUAAUCUAGAUCUUAUUUUCCAAUAUAAAUAAUUGUAUAAUCGAUCAAUCAUAUGCAUUGGAACUUUAUAUAAAAUAUGCUACCUGGGAUAUAGAUAAAAAUUUUAAUAAUAUAAAAAAAUACCAUGAUUGAAUGAGGAAAUGUUACCUGACUCAAGACUGGAUCAACUGUGGUCUAAAUGUCAGCUGACUCCAGACUGGAUCAACUGUGGUCUAAAUGUCAGCUGACUCUAGACUGGAUCAACUGUGGUCUAAAUGUCAGCUGACUCUAAACUGGAUAAACUGUUGUGUAAAUGUCAGCUGACUCUAGACUGGAUCAACUGUGGUCUAAAUGUUACCUGACUGAAGAAAGAACCAACUGUGGUCUCAUUUAGCUCCUGAUAAGAUUGGACAGCGACCUGAAGAAUUGCAAAUCCUAUAUUUGGGCAAGAAUAUUCAAAUUAUUUCAGUAAAUAAAAGACAAUUAGCCGAGUAUCAUAAUUCAAUGUAUUUAUUUUAUGCUUAAAUACCCACCACUUUUCAGGGGUUUAGUACCAAAAGGUGGGUCCACAUAAGGGGUAGUAAGAGUUGGAGGUGUUGUCACCUGUGUCGUGGUAGCCCUUGGUCCCAUUGUAGUUGUUGAAGCUGAUGGGGUAAAUAUUGACAUGUUAGCUCUAUCUCUCAUUAGCCUGAAAUCCAAACCUGUUUUAGGCUAAACAUUCCACUCCCUGUACUCCGUGUCAUAUACAAAACAUUACAUUAUAAGGAGUGGAAUGAUAGCCCAAACAGACUAGUACCCAUUCUAGUAUAUAUAUUUUAUGAUCACAACAAGAAAUACAAAAAUACAAAAUAAAGAUGUUUUUACAGUAGUCAUC